GCUCCGGUGGCCUAGUGGUUAGAAAGUUCGCCUCGGAUGCGAGAGGUCCUUGGUUCGAUCCCCGAUCGAGUCA